rnacentral:rRNA from 1 species
AUUGAACGCUGGCGGCAGGCCUAACACAUGCAAGUCGAGCGGAUGAGUGGAGCUUGCUCCAUGAUUCAGCGGCGGACGGGUGAGAAAUGCCUAGGAAUCUGCCUGGUAGUGGGGGACAACGUUUCGAAAGGAACGCUAAUACCGCAUACGUCCUACGGGAGAAAGUGGGGGAUCUUCGGACCCCACGCUAACAGAUGAGCCUAGGUCGGAUUAGCUAGUUGGUGAGGUAAAGGCUCACCAAGGCGACGAUCCGUAACUGGUCUGAGAGGAUGAUCAGUCACACUGGAACUGAGACACGGUCCAGACUCCUACGGGAGGCAGCAGUGGGGAAUAUUGGACAAUGGGCGAAAGCCUGAUCCAGCCGUGCCGCGUGUGUGAAGAAGGUCUUCGGAUUGUAAAGCACUUUAAGUUGGGAGGAAGGGCAGUAAGUUAAUACCUUGCUGUUUUGACGUUACCAACAGAAUAAGCACCGGCUAACUUCGUGCCAGCAGCCGCAGUAAGAC